UUUAUAGCUAUAAAGUAAUAAAAUUUUAAAGUCCAUUUUUUAAAAUUAUUUUGUUUUCAUCCAAUCGACCGUUACAUAUACAAAAUUGUGUUGAGUUCUCUUCUUCACCAUCAUUCUCACAAGCACUCUUCUCAAAGCGAUGAAGAUGAGUCUCUCUCUCUGCAAAACCUUCAGUUUCUCAUAAAUGCAGAAAAUGGCAAAGAUGACGAUGGCGAAAAUAAAAUUGCUGAGAGUCACGAGGGAGGUAGUUUUGGGGCAAAUGAGGAGAUACAUUGGUUCGGAUGUACUGUUCGUAUUCAGCAACGCAGAUCCAUGUAUAUGCAGAGGAUCAAGAUUCAUGGGAUAAAUAAGACACUUGGAUCAGUUCAUUAUAAAAGAAUGAAGAACAAAAAAAAAGAUGGAGGAACAAGUCGGAGAACAACAGGGUUCUACUAUCGCUUCAAUUCCCCAAAAGAGCUUUUCUGAAGUAGUUACUGGCAUUGAUAACUCAACAAUUGUGCAGUCGCAGCCUCCAACUUCAGCUUCAUCUAGCAGACUCCCUCCAAGGCAACAACUAAGGCUUCGUGAUGUGAAGACUCUAGCCAGACUCAUGGGUCGUCUUACUGAAGAGGAGAAAAGAGUCAUUUUGCUCCUUUAUAAUAAUAAUAAUAAUAAUUAAUGUAAAAGGUUUAUUAUUUAAUUUCAGCAUGUACUUGUUGCUCGAUCUUUUAAUUCCUUCAUCACUUAGAUGAAUUAUGUUUUGUUUUUCCAUUUAUGUAUGAUCUUUAUAUUAAUAUAUGUUUUACAGUUGA